AUUGAACGCUGGCGGCAUGCCUUACACAUGCAAGUCGAACGGCAUCGCGGGAGCAAUCCUGGCGGCGAGUGGCGAACGGGUGAGCAAUAUAUCGUAACGUGCCCUAGAGUGGGGGAUAACGUAGCGAAAGUUACGCUAAUACCGCAUACGAUCUUAGGAUGAAAGUGGGGGUUCUAAAGACCCCACGCCCAUGGAGCCGCCGAUAUCUGACUAGCUAGUUGGUGGGGUAAAGGCCUACCAAGGCGACGAUCAGUUGCUGGUCUGAGAGGACGACCAGCCACACUGGGACUGAGACACGGCCCAGACUGCUACGGGAGGCAGCAGUGGGGAAUUUUGGACAAUGGGGGAAACCCUGAUCCAGCAAUGCCGCGUGUGUGAAGAAGGCCUUCGGGUUGUAAAGCACUUUUGUCAGGAACGAAACGGUGAGGGCUAAUAUCCUUUGCUAAUGACGGUACCUGAAGAAUAAGCACCGGCUAACUACGUGCCAGCCGCCGCAGUAA
rnacentral:rRNA from 1 species